CCAAGCAGUGCGUCUCUUCCAGCAUGCCUGGAGCAGCUUCAGAGACGCAAAUGACAGCAGGGGGAGGGGGACUGGGCAUGUGUGCUUGCAGGGGAGACAUUGAUUACCAUCAGGGGGUGGGGCUGGCCAACAAGCAGGAGAGAAUCUGUCCCUCUCUCUUGAUACUGCAGCUCGAGGGGUGCGGAGGAGGUAGGUCUUUUUGUUAUGUAGGAGGAAGGGUCUGGCCCCGAGGCAGAAGUGUAGUAGCCUGCCUGCCUAGUAUAAUGUAACUUCUUGAGAACUGAAAAAAACACUUAAUUAAAUAUUAGUAUCAUGUUAAUGAAAAUUGUUUGUUUUUAAGUUAAAGAAAAUAGCUUUUUGUAUAUGAUGUGUGUUG